rnacentral:rRNA from 1 species
UACGUAGGGUGCAAGCGUUGUCCGGACUUACUGGGCGUAAAGGGUGCGUAGGCGGCCUGCUGCGUCGGUGCUGAAAGCGCCCGGCUUAACCGGGCGAGGCGUGCCGAUACGAGCGGGCUGGAGCCUUGGCGAGGGUGGCGGAACUCCUGGUGUAGUGGUGAAAUGCGUAGAGAUCAGGAAGAACACCCGUGGCGCAAGCGGCCACCUGGCCAAGAGCUGACGCUGAGGCACGAGAGCGUGGGGAGCGAACCGG